UACAGAGGUCUCAAGCGUUGUUCGGAUUCAUUGGGCGUAAAGGGUGCGUAGGUGGCGCCGUAAGUCGGGUGUGAAAUCUCGGGGCUUAACUCCGAAACUGCACUCGAUACUGCUUUGCUCGAGGACUGGAGAGGAGAUUGGAAUUCACGGUGUAGCAGUGAAAUGCGUAGAUAUCGUGAGGAAGACCAGUGGCGAAGGCGGAUCUCUGGACAGUUCCUGACGCUGAGGCGCGAAGGCCAGGGGAGCAAACGGG
rnacentral:rRNA from 1 species